rnacentral:rRNA from 1 species
UACGUAGAGGGCAAGCGUUGUCCGGAAUCAUUGGGCGUAAAGAGCGUGUAGGCGGCCAGAUAAGUCCGCUGUGAAAUCUCGAGGCUCAACUUCGAGCUGUCGGUGGAAACUGUCUGGCUAGAGUCCGGAAGAGGAGAAUGGAAUUCCUGGUGUAGCGGUGAAAUGCGCAGAUAUCAGGAGGAACACCGGUGGCGAAGGCGGCACUCUGGGCCGGUACUGACGCUGAGGAGCGAAAGCGUGGGGAGCGAACAGG